CCUGCUUUUGUUCAGGUUUUGAACUGAUCAGAGCAGAACCCGUGGAGCUGCAGGGCUCCAGGUGAACAUGAUGAGGGUAAUUAGAGCAGCUGAGGCGCUGAUAUAAAGUCAGCUGCAGCCACAGAGCAGUUACAGCCCAAAGCUUUUCUCUUUCAGUACUCAGCCUGGUCCAGUUCUGCUGCCAUCCCAGACGUCAACAUGGUUCUUCAGGGUGUUUUCAAGAGCUCCUGGAUUUGCUUGCUGCUCUUCAGCAUUGCAGCUUGUGCUCCUGCAAAAAAA